rnacentral:rRNA from 1 species
UACAGAGGGGGCAAGCGUUGUUCGGAUAUACUGGGCGUAAAGCGCACGUAGGCGGCGCCGUAAGUCAGGGGUGAAAUCCCGGAGCUCAACUCCGGAACUGCCCUUGAAACUGCAGUGCUAGAAUCCUGGAGAGGCGAGUGGAAUUCCGAGUGUAGAGGUGAAAUGCGUAGAUAUCUGGAGGAACACCGGUGGCGAAGGCGGCGUUCUGGACUGUAACUGACACUGAGAAACGAAAGCCAGGGUAGCAAACGGG